rnacentral:sRNA from 4 species
GUCGCCGCAAAAUCGGCGACCGGGAUUAGCCUCCUGAUAUCUCAAGGCGCACCAGCGCCCAUCGAUCGAUGCAAGGCGCUUUUUU